rnacentral:pre_miRNA from 1 species
AUGUCCCCUAGAGUUCCUUCAAACACUACAUUGGGGAGUACUGGCUAGUACUCGAUCAUCCUCUGAUCUUUCCCUACUGAAGUGUUUGGGGGGACCCCUGGAGCCAU